CGCGUGAUCGGCUAGAACGUUGGGAAGUAGAUCGCCGCUUUUAUCGAUUGUUUUUCCAGACAACGAGAACAAUUAGUGUUCUUACGCUACGUUCUAACGCUACAGAAAGACAGCGAAAGUCUUCGAGCUCGUGACACGUUUGCUCUGCCUUUAUCUCGACUCUAAACGCUCGACUAACAAACAGGAAAACGUCUGCAGGAAAGACAACGCGCACGUCAGACGUUGCAACGACGCUUUAGUUGCAGCUGCUUGUGUCUCUUUUCUCAAGAUCAUCAAGUGCAUCUCAAGUCAAUCGCCGUUGGAAACUAUCUCGUCACCGCGUCCCAAAAUAUUUUCCGUAGGAGUCGUUUCACACUGUCGCAAUCGUUUGCGUGCCAACUGAUAGCAACACACACAGCGGCUAUUUGCAUUUGUGGUAAAUAGACGUGUCAAUACUGCGGAUAAAAUUUUAUGUCUGAUCUGUCAAGUAAACAAGGCAUGAAGUUUCCAAAAUGCGAAAGGUGCCAACGUAACGAUUCUCAGCGUCAUUUUCAUCCAUGCAAGUGCUACGCCUGCUUGGACUGCGUAAACGAAGAAGUGAAAAUAAGAUCAAGGGUAACCCGAUGUCCCGCAUGCUGGCAAGUUGCAUCUAGUGAUGGAUCAAAUCCUUACCAUCCCGAAAGCAGUGGUAAAUAAACUUGAUCUUUGUUUUACAUAAAAUACAGACAUAUUAGCGUCGUGCAGCAUGUACUAGAUAAAAAAUUUAGGAGAGACACUAUUGUCGUUGUAAACUGCUAGAUAUCUUGACAUCUUCUAAGUCUAACGCAAUACAUAUAUUGUUG